GUUUUUUUGUCCUUCAAAAACAAAUGUCAGAGCUGUUUUUCAAAGCAAUUAUUCUUUACUUUCACAGUGUUCCUGUCUGAAUCAGAUGAGAACUAUAACAGCGUUUCAGACAUGGACUUGAGAAUAGCCAUGCCAGUUAAGGCUACGCUCUCUGUUAGAGUUCGUAUAAACUUUGCAACAGACCAAGUUUACCAGUAGGUGGGGGGUUGGAGGGAGUACUGUACUUGGAGAUAAGGC